rnacentral:rRNA from 1 species
UACGAAGGGGGCGAGCGUUGUUCGGAAUUACUGGGCGUAAAGGGCGUGUAGGCGGCCCCUCAAGUCGAGUGUGAAAGCCCCGGGCUCAACCUGGGAGGUGCGCUCGAGACUGGCGGGCUGGAGUUCGGGAGAGGAGCGUGGAAUUCCCAGUGUAGAGGUGAAAUUCGUAGAUAUUGGGAAGAACACCAGUGGCGAAGGCGGCUCACUGGACCGACACUGACGCUGAGGCGCGAAAGCGUGGGGAGCAAACAGG